rnacentral:rRNA from 1 species
GAUGAACGCUGGCGGCGUGCCUAAUACAUGCAAGUCGAGCGAACAGACGAGGAGCUUGCUCCUCUGACGUUAGCGGCGGACGGGUGAGUAACACGUGGAUAACCUACCUAUAAGACUGGGAUAACUUCGGGAAACCGGAGCUAAUACCGGAUAAUAUAUUGAACCGCAUGGUUCAAUAGUGAAAGACGGUUUUGCUGUCACUUAUAGAUGGAGCCGCGCCGUAUCAGCUAGUUGGUAAGGUAACGGCCUACCAAGGCAACGAGGGGUAGCCGGCCUGAGAGGGUGGACGGUAACAGGGGGAGUGAGACACGGACAAGACUACGACGGGAGGCAGCAGUGGGGAAUAGUGGACAAUGGGCGCAAGCCUGAUGCAGCGACGCGGCGUGAGGGAUGGAGGCCGUAGGGUUGUGAACCGCUUUCGCCAGUGAAGAAGGCCGGCCUCGUUUGUGGGUGGGUUGACAGUAGCUGGAUAAGAAGCGACGGCUAACUACGUG